GUCCACGCCCUAAACGAUGAUGACUAGUUGUUGGAGGAGUUAAAUCCUUUAGUAACGCAGCUAACGCGAGAAGUCAUCCGCCUGGGGAGUACGGUCGCAAGAUUAAAACUCAAAGGAAUUGACGGGGGCCCGCACAAGCGGUGGAUGAUGUGGUUUAAUUCGACGCAACGCGAAAACCUUACCUACCCUUGACAUGUCAGGAACGCUGCAGAAAUGCAGCGGUGCCCGAAAGGGAACCUGAACACAGGUGCUGCAUGGCUGUCGU
rnacentral:rRNA from 1 species